rnacentral:rRNA from 1 species
UGGGGAAUCUUGCACAAUGGGCGCAAGCCUGAUGCAGCAACGCCGCGUGAACGAUGAAGGUCUUCGGAUCGUAAAGUUCUGUUGCAGGGGAAGAUAAUGACGGUACCCUGUGAGGAAGCCCCGGCUAACUACGUGCCAGCAGCCGCGGUAAUACGUAGGGGGCUAGCGUUAUCCGGAUUUACUGGGCGUAAAGGGUGCGUAGGUGGUCCUUCAAGUCGGUGGUUAAAGGCUACGGCUCAACCGUAGUAAGCCGCCGAAACUGGAGGACUUGAGUGCAGGAGAGGAAAGUGGAAUUCCCAGUGUAGCGGUGAAAUGCGUAGAUAUUGGGAGGAACACCAGUAGCGAAGGCGGCUUUCUGGACUGCAACUGACACUGAGGCACGAAAGCGUGGGUAGCAAACAGG